CGCUCCGCAAGGAGAGUGGCAGACGGGUGAGUAACGCGUGGGAACCUUCCUAUUGGUUCGGAAUAGCUCAGGGAAACUUGGGGUAAUACCGGAUACGCCCUACGGGGGAAAGAUUUAUCGCCGAUAGAUGGGCCCGCGUCUGAUUAGCUAGUUGGUGAGGUAAUGGCUCACCAAGGCGACGAUCAGUAGCUGGUUUGAGAGAAUGACCAGCCACACUGGGACUGAGACACGGCCCAG
rnacentral:rRNA from 1 species